UGAACUCAGCACCCCCCCUGCAGUGCUGCCCCAGAGAGGAGCGCGCGGGCCUGGUGCGUCUCUGCACGGAGACCACGUGGUCCGGGGCUUCAGCGCUACGUGUGAAACGCUUGUACACGUGUGUAGAUGUGCACAUCACGUGAUGAGGAGGCGCACCGUUUACUGCUCGAGCUGCUGGCACCGAAGUUCCGCGUGCAGUAGGCACUGUCUUUGAGAAGCUGCCUUGAGAAGCCACUGGACUAGACAGAGAGACUUUGAACCCCCAAGUACCGAGCUGGCCUGCUGGUGAAAACGGAAAAAUUUCACCUCUUGCUCCUGAAAUGAGGGAGGAGGACAAAAAUAGAAAGAAGACCAAAAAAUGGUGGAAAAGGAGGGUAAGACAGAGCAGAAGGUAAGACGGCGAGAUGCCGGGUGCCUUGUGGGGAGGCAGAGCCCGCGGGAACGUGGAGUUGGAGGGGCUUUGAGGACGCGGAGCGGCUCUGUACUGCUUUACCGUUUUUCUAAGUUUAAAAAAAAGGAAAGAAAAACUCACAUGUGGCCCAGGGGUGCUGGCCCUGCGGUGCACCCCGAACCACGCUAGGACGCCUGUCCCGCCGCUGCUUGGGCCGGCUGGUGUGCGCGGUGGGGUAGGAGGCUGGGCCUCGCGGGCACAUCUACAGGGGUGGGGAGCGGGGGGCCGGGGAGCGGAGCCCGGAGACCACGGACACCGUGAGACAAAGGUCCGUGGUUGCAGCCACGCUGAUCUGGGUUUUAAAGGGGCUGGGGAGCUCCAGCUGACAGCCAGGACGCCGCACACACUCCACUAAACGAUUAGACCAGAUGCCAACACAUUUCCAGACCUCCGCGCCAGAGAUGCUGCAAAAGCACGCAGAUGCCAUCAAGCUGAGACGUGGAGGCAGAAGUGAAGCAGAGGCUCCCUUCCUACUGCUUUUGGCUGAUCUCUGUGGGGCUGGCUCACAUGCCGCAGUGUUUCCGCAUCCAAGUUCCAGCUCUACUGGGGCAGAGAAAGGCAGUGGUGAUGGCUUCACGUCCCUUGGCUCCGGGUCCCUGGGCUGCAGCAGGGGGGCUGCGUUCCUGGUUCCCGCCUUCCUGGCUGGGCCACGGGCAGUAGCUGCCCUGGAGGGUCAGCUCUGCAGUGUCAGGGAGGCCUUCCUGCAGGCUCAGGCAAGAGUCUGGGGCUCCCCUGCCCUUCCUUUUUUUUAUUCCAGUAUUAAGCCCCUUUCUGUUUAAAAAGCUACACUGGUUCCUGCUUCCUGCUGACUGACUCAGGACGUCAGGAAGAGUGAGAAGGCUCAGUGAGAACGACUGGGCAGACACACUGGGUAGAGAGCCACAAAGGCGGGCCCGGGGGCUCCUGCCCCAGCCAGCACUUCCUUCUCACGCAGACGCUCCUAGACAGAGGGACUGUCCUUUCUGCUGGGCCCCCAUCCCUGUCUCUGGCUGGGCGGGACUAGGCGAGGCAAACAAAGGCACCCAGUGCAGAAUUUCGGGACGUGUUCUCCCCAGGGCGGUGCAGGUGCAGGUGCAGGUGCAGGAAGGUCCCAGAGAGGGAGCGCCUCCUGAAACCUUGCACCCUGUGUGCCUCCCUUGCCCCCCCUCGUCCUGGCCCUGCUCACAGGUCUGACCUGAGUGGACCUGGCUGACCUCCGUGUGGGUGCCGAGAGUUUAUGCCUCUGUGCACCCUCUGGCUCAGAGGAGAGUCUGUGAGCACCUUCUCUGAGGCUCUCAAAUCUGAGCUCACUGUGCACGGUGCCUGCGUGAGGUCGCAGCUCCCCAUCUCUCUGCGUCCCCUCUGCUGGGUCAUCCAAUCAUGAGGCUGGAUGAAGAGAAGCACAGAGUGCAGAACGGUGGAGGGGAGAAUUCUACUUUACUCCAGCUGGACAGGUCCGCCUGGAGGGGCUACAGAUCCGUGGGGAAGCCAAGGGGCUGGGUCCCGGGAGAGCAACUGGCGAAUGGCUGACCAACAUGCAUGUGUGGAGAAGACGCUCUGCCGGGCCAGAGAGCAGGGAAGUGAAAGUAACAGGGCAGGAAGGCGCUGUUCCACCUGCUGCACAGUCAGAAGCUAAAGCGGUGGGUGACGCUGGCAGCACCACUGAUGCCCCUGCUGUGGGGAAGGGUGGGGGCAGCGCCAGAGCACCGACAGCCUUGUUUAGGAGGAAAAUGCAAGUGGGUGCCUCUCUCUCUGCUCCCUGACGGCCACGGACCUGCGGGAGGCAGACAGCAGAGCCAGUGGCUUCCCCGUCCGUCCGGCUGACAGUCACCUCUCGUCCGCCUCUGAGGGUCCCUGCGGAAGCUCGAGGAAGCAGUUGCCUGAUACCACAAGGCCACGGGGUGGGCAGCCUUGGCCCCGGGCCGCCUGACCGUCCACCCUGCCCCCUCCGCCACCAGGCACAGGCCUUGCGCCUCUUAAGCGGAUGUGAGUUCAGAGGCUGGAAUGGCUGUGCUUUCUGACUGUCCUGUGACAGCCUUUCAAAUCCUCUUGUUCUGCGGAGAAUCAGGCUGCAGUUCCGAGAUGCCGAAACCCGCCUCCCCCCAGCCACAGUCCCUGACUGGAUUUGGCACUCAAGAUCUCUGCAGAGCCCUCUCAGUUAGUUUUAUAAUAAACUUCAAAAAGCUUUC